rnacentral:rRNA from 1 species
UACGUAGGGGGCAAGCGUUGUCCGGAUUCAUUGGGCGUAAAGAGCGUGUAGGCGGCCAGGUAGGUCGGUUGUGAAAACUGGAGGCUCAACCUUCAGAGGUCGACCGAAACCAUCUGGCUAGAGUCCGGGAGAGGAGAGUGGAAUUCCCGGUGUAGCGGUGAAAUGCGCAGAUAUCGGGAAGAACACCCAUGGCGAAGGCAGCUCUCUGGGACGGUACUGACGCUGAGACGCGAAAGCGUGGGGAGCGAACAGG